CUAGAGAGCUGGCGUACCUCCUGGGCCUGACGUGGGCUUCCCGGAUUGCAUAAAGGCUCCUUCUCCUUACAUAGCCAGGGCAAAGGUGCAUGACAACCCUGCGCAAGUCAAAACAACCGUCAGCGGCGGGAAACCUCGAUGAACAAACACCGGGAGAGUGGUGCCGCAGACCCCUGGGAGGCACCAGCACCCUGGAUCGAGAAGCCCGAUGUGAAAGAAUGUCUGGGAAGGAUGUCAUGCCGGAGGCUUGCGUGACAGUUUCCACUUACAGUGCGCUCACUCUGAACCUCCAUGCUCACGAUGGGCCUGCAUCUCUUCCCACUAUCUGCUAGGAAACACGAGGGGAAGGAAAUGACCGCAGAAAGGAGUGUAGCGUGGGGGCAGGUGGUGCUGCGGCCAAUGGGCAGUGCUGGGAGAUGAAACCAACAGCGGCGAUUGCCCCAGAAAGAACUCGGCGCUGCUAAGGCAAUGGCGGCCCGAAGGAGGCCCCUGACGCAUGAGGAGCGGCCGCCGUCUCCAGCCCCAGGCCUCCCUCCCCUGUGUUUCCCGCAGACCCCUCUGGAGUCUCUCCCCCGCCCCGCACCUGUAGGGAGACCCUGGGAAAGCGGGCCGGUUAUAAUUGCAAAAAAUAAACCUUCAGUAGCC
rnacentral:lncRNA from 1 species